UGGGGAAUAUUGCACAAUGGGCGCAAGCCUGAUGCAGCCAUGCCGCGUGUAUGAAGAAGGCCUUCGGGUUGUAAAGUACUUUCAGCGGGGAGGAAGGGAGUAAAGUUAAUACCUUUGCUCAUUGACGUUACCCGCAGAAGAAGCACCGGCUAACUCCGUGCCAGCAGCCGCGGUAAUACGGAGGGUGCAAGCGUUAAUCGGAAUUACUGGGCGUAAAGCGCACGCAGGCGGUUUGUUAAGUCAGAUGUGAAAUCCCCGGGCUCAACCUGGGGACUGCAUCUGAUACUGGCAAGCUUGAGUCUCGUAGAGGGGGGUAGAAUUCCAGGUGUGGCGGUGAAAUGCGUAGAGAUCUGGAGGAAUACCGGUGGCGAAGGCGGCCCCCUGGACGAAGACUGACGCUCAGGUGCGAAAGCGUGGGGAGCAAACAGG
rnacentral:rRNA from 1 species